CUAUCGGUGGUCGAUUUAGGGUUAAACUAGACUCUCCUGUAUAAAACACCCCAUCGCCGCCCCGCUAAGGAACAUAGAAAAGCAGUAGUCCCCAGUUGGUUCAUUAUUGAAGCAAGCAUGACCACCGUAUUUGAGAGACGUGAAUUUGCCACCGCCGUUUAUCAAAGGUAUGAAAACAGAACCUACCGAAGCAAAUCCUGCGUGGACGUACUUCCGAUCAAAUUCUACCGGUGGAAGGCAUAUUCAGACCAUAACCCAGAUUUGACGCUAGACCUCCAAUUUUGUCAUCUACAAACGUUCUCAAGUUGCGGUUCUCGAGGGAGAGGGCAAGUGGAAAUGCAAAGACAACGAUGGAGAGACUUGCUAGGUAUCAAAGGGUCAUAGCUGGGUCUCCCAGGGAAGCAAACAAGUUAGAGAACAAGUUGGGUAGGUACCUUACCACAACUUUGGGAAUUCACGAAGAUGAGCAACCGUUUAUUACUGUAAAAAUAUUGGAAAUGCUCCGAGAAGCCGUCCCCGAUAAAAUUAUAGAAGUGCACUUGAUAGAAAUUACAUUUAGAAGUACGAAUUGGUCCUUUCUGUGGGGCUUCAGCGAGGACGGGGACGAUAUAUACUACAGGGCUAAGCUGGUUCCUGCUCCGAAAUCAUUCAUCGAGUCUCUGGAGGAAGUGAGACUACUUGAUGAUGAUGAUAAUCUGGAAUUGCUUGGAUUGGAGUGUCCUAUUUGUAUGCAGGUGUUUGCAGAGAAAAAAGAUACCAGCAUUACUCGGUUGCCAUGCUCACACUAUUACCAUCGAGAUUGCAUUGUCCAGUGGCUCCAGAUCAAUCAUGUCUGUCCCACUUGUCGACACCCUAAUGCUCCGAUGAGUUGAGUUGAGUUGAUGCCCCAGGCCAUCAAGGGAAGGAAUCUAGCCUUUCUUAUUGCUUCUAAGAGAGUGGUAUCUCCAUAUGACUAAGAACGAACCUUCUGUUUCGCACAAGGAAUUGACAUCCCUGGAACAUCCAGACAGGUAAGCAUAUUGAUUUCUUCUUCUUGGAUUGGCUGACUGGUUUGCUUUAUUGUUGUGACUUGAUAGGGGGCAGCUAGGAAUAAGUCAUUGAGGCUGGUGUACAAAUCCUUUCAGGCCAUAUGUAAUCAAAAUUUAGUUAAGGAUUGUUUAAGGAGAAGGUCAUGUGAUAUGCUUGCAAUAGAAAAUAAUGAACUUUGAAAUGCUGGCAGGUUAGGACCAAAAUGUGUUGGAAUGGACUGGGUAGCAAUGGUUAGGGUAAAUUGGAAGGGAUCCAACAACCUAGAUGUGAGCUAAUUAUUAAGAGAUGGCUGGUGAAGCAAUUUGUGGCCACGAUGAGAGAUGUAUAUGUGUUCUGUCCAUAUAAAUAAAGAAAAAUGCAGAUUUUGCUUA